rnacentral:rRNA from 1 species
UACGGGGGGAGCAAGCGUUGUUCGGAUUUACUGGGCGUAAAGGGCGCGUAGGCGGCGUGACAAGUCACUUGUGAAAUCUCCGGGCUUAACUCGGAACGGUCAAGUGAUACUGUCGUGCUAGAGUACAGAAGGGGCAACUGGAAUUCUCGGUGUAGCGGUGAAAUGCGUAGAUAUCGAGAGGAACACCUGCGGCGAAGGCGGGUUGCUGGGCUGAUACUGACGCUGAGGCGCGAAAGCCAGGGGAGCGAACGGGG